CCUACGGGGGGCUGCAGUGGGGAAUAUUGCACAAUGGGCGCAAGCCUGAUGCAGCCAUGCCGCGUGUGUGAAGAAGGCCUUCGGGUUGUAAAGCACUUUCAGCGGGGAGGAAGGCGUUAAGGUUAAUAACCUUGGCGAUUGACGUUACCCGCAGAAGAAGCACCGGCUAACUCCGUGCCAGCAGCCGCGGUAAUACGGAGGGUGCAAGCGUUAAUCGGAAUUACUGGGCGUAAAGCGCACGCAGGCGGCCUGUCAAGUCGGAUGUGAAAUCCCCGGGCUCAACCUGGGAACUGCAUUCGAAACUGGCAGGCUAGAGUCUUGUAGAGGGGGGUAGAAUUCCAGGUGUAGCGGUGAAAUGCGUAGAGAUCUGGAGGAAUACCGGUGGCGAAGGCGGCCCCCUGGACAAAGACUGACGCUCAGGUGCGAAAGCGUGGGGAGCAAACAGGAUUAGAUACCCUAGUAGUC
rnacentral:rRNA from 1 species